ACGGGUAGAGGCGCAUUGCCUAAAAGUAGAUUGUUAGAGGGUGAUUCUGAUGACAACAAUCGAAAGGAGUCAAUGCCGAAGUUAAUUACGUUAAUCAGACGUAUUUAGCUGGGGUUAUUUCAAAAAGGAAUAACACUGCCAUAGUCAAUUUAUUUUUUAACUAUGGAGCGCUACUGUA
rnacentral:ncRNA from 1 species